GUGCCAGCAGCCGCGGUAAUACGUAGGUGGCAAGCGUUAUCCGGAAUUAUUGGGCGUAAAGCGCGCGCAGGUGGUUUCUUAAGUCUGAUGUGAAAGCCCACGGCUCAACCGUGGAGGGUCAUUGGAAACUGGGAGACUUGAGUGCAGAAGAGGAAAGUGGAAUUCCAUGUGUAGCGGGAAGAUGCGUAGAGAUAUGGGGGAAAACCAGUGGCGAAGGCGACUUUCUGGUAUGUAACUGACACUGAG
rnacentral:rRNA from 1 species